UACGUAGGGUGCAAGCGUUGUCCGGAAUUAUUGGGCGUAAAGCGCGUGUAGGCGGCAAGGCAGGUCGGAUGUGAAAGCCCGCGGCUCAACCGUGGAAGUGCACUCGAAACCGCCUAGCUAGAGUCUCGGAGAGGAAGGUGGAAUGCUUGGUGUAGAGGUGAAAUUCGUAGAUAUCAAGCAGAACACCUGUGGCGAAGGCGGCCUUCUGGACGAUGACUGACGCUGAGACGCGAAAGCGUGGGGAGCAAACAGG
rnacentral:rRNA from 1 species